rnacentral:rRNA from 1 species
GAUGAACGCUAGCGGCAGGCUUAACACAUGCAAGUCGAGGGGCAGCACGGUAGCAAUACUGGUGGCGACCGGCAAACGGGUGCGGAACACGUACAGAAUCUACCUUUAUCUGGGGCAUAGCCCGGAGAAAUCCGGAUUAACUCCCCAUAAUAUACAUGAGUGGCAUCACUUGAGUAUUAAAAAUUCAUUGGAUAGAGAUGACUGUGCGUCCCAUUAGCUAGUUGGUAGGGUAACGGCCUACCAAGGCGACGAUGGGUAGCUGGUGUGAGAGCACGACCAGCCACACGGGCACUGAGACACGGGCCCGACUCCUACGGGAGGCAGCAGUGAGGAAUAUUGGUCAAUGGACGCAAGUCUGAACCAGCCAUGCCGCGUGAAGGAUGAAGGCCUUCUGGGUUGUAAACUUCUUUUAUGGGGGAAGAAAACUACGGUUUCUACUGUAGCCGACGGUACCCUAGGAAUAAGCACCGGCUAACUCCGUGCCAGCAGCCGCGGUAAUACGGAGGGUGCAAGCGUUAUCCGGAUUUACUGGGUUUAAAGGGUGUGUAGGCGGGCUUUUAAGUCAGUGGUGAAAUCUCCGGGCUCAACCCGGAAACUGCCAUUGAUACUAUUA